GGGGAUUGUUGUGUUUGGCAAUAUCAUCCAUUUGUCGACUUGUUGGCUUGGGUGCACAUCAGAAUCGCAUCUCUGAAGCGUCGGCUCAGAUCUCUUUAACCGCCUUCUUCCAGGCUGUAUUUGCAGCUGUUGUCUGCAGCUAUCCAUUGUUAGGGACUGGGACUUUAAGAAUAUAAGGAUAUUGAGAACAUCCUGAAUGGAGCAUUAUCUCAUGUCCAUCUUUUACAAUUUUGACAGGCUAUUCUUGUAAGGACUCAUUCCAUUAGCAUCUUUUCUCAGUGUACGGAGGCCUCGCAGUUCAGUCGCUGUCGACUUGUAGCAGUGUAGGCUGCAGUUGGAGUUAAGAUGCAGGCGGAAACGAUCCCUGAGGAAGUUCAAUACAUCAGGGGAAGACUGAAGCAAGCGGUGCCAGAAAGAACUGGAGUUUCUGGAGAAUAAAACCUGGGAGUGUGCCCCUGGAAAUCCCCCUGGGUGGUCACCGGUCUGACUUCCACAGACUGAUUGCCUUGGCCAGGAGCAUCCCGGCAGUCCUGCCAUAAGUGCGUAUGCCUGGAGUUUUAAUUUCCGUUUAAUGCUGGCAAAGCCCCUCUGGGUGAGCCCCAGUGCCUGGCAUGAGCAGAGCGGGCUUCCAGGGCACUCAUUGCAGGCGUUGUGUUUAAGGGAAGAGCAGGGGAGCCUUUCUCUGGCCCAGAGGAGCUGCAGUGUU